rnacentral:lncRNA from 1 species
GACUACCCAGGUGGCUAGCACCUACUUGGAUAAGAAUGUCCUGAGCUUCAAAUCUCUUCCCUGAUAAAAAGAGGGCUGCUGCUCUCAAGGAACUUCAGUCAAGGGGAGUGGGGGAAGACAGUCCCACACACAGACAAAAAACUAGGGGGUGAAAGGCCAAUGAGUGGUGGGAAGGAAAGGGAAAGAAGCUUCCAGAAGGCUAGGGGUAAGAAUGCAGCAGUGAACAUGGUUCCUGCACUCAUGAAGCAAAUGUAUCCACUGUGGUACAAAAGAGACUGUAAAAAACAAACCCAAAUGGACAACAGACCCCAACUCCAGUUUAAAAACGCCACCACUCAACAGCCUGUUUUCUGAGCCUAUGACCACAUAUAUGCUGCAGAACCCUUUCAGGGUGUAUCUGAAACUACUUCUCUUAAAGGCAAGCUGUAACUGGUGCCAGAAAAGACAGAAGCUGAUUGAGGUCCCAGCUUGGUAACAGUUUGAAGAGUUGCAGGACUGGCUGGAUGAGUACUGGCUGCAGCAAAUCAGGCUGCCAGGAUUCUUUAUGGCUGUUUCUGCUUCCACUACAGCUGAGUCAGAAAGGUCGCUGCCCCGUGGUGGCACUAGACGCAGUGGACCUGGCAAGCAAAUGUUUCCGCUAUUAGCUCUCAGCAACAGAGACUCAUUUAUGGUCACCUUGGAAAUCUGGGCUUAUCGAUCUACAGCCCAAGUCUGCUGAGAAGCUGGAGCUUACUAAAGGGGAAACCUGAGAGCUGUUCAAGCCCCAAAUAUUUUCCACUUCUGCGUCACCUCUGCUGUCUGUUAGCAGAGUGGAGGAGAAAAUACACAGCACAAACAACGUGAAAAAAUAGUUACUCUAUUCAUUAAAAGCUGUAACUUCCAGAUUGGACUUGAGAAGCAAUUAAGCAACAGAGGAACCUCAUCUACUAUCUGUAUUCAGGCAUGCUCAUGAGAACACGCUGCUCCAGCUGGACUUAGAGGAACCCGGUGCAUCACAGGCAUUCCUGACAGAGUCUCGUGGUCCUGCUGGUCCACUCAGUGGUACUCAGUCCUCCUCAUUCUCGGGGAUAGGUUCCAAGACCCCCAGGGGAUGCCUGAAACUGCGGAUGGUGAAAUGCCAUCACAUCCUUCAUACUCAUAUUUUUAGGACCAUAGGAGACCCAAUAUAUCUGUCUGUAUUGCAAUAAAUUACAAGGCUUUGACCAAAGACCCAGUUCCUAACUGACUGCUCUUGAAGCCAGCUCCACUGCAGAAUUAAGGAACAGAGAUGAGACUUGUCUGACAUGGGGAACUGUCACAGGAUAAUACCUUUGAAAAGCCUGGUUUUAGAACUUGCCUCUCUCAAUUUGAGGCAGUGUAUGUUUUUAAGUUUCUAAAAAUAAGAUAUUAUAAGAUUUGUAACAUUACAAUGACUGCCAAUGCAAAGAACCUCUGGGACUCUAGUGCAUCAGUGGAAUAUCAGCACAUUGAUGGACAUGUGGACUAUUUGGAUUCAGAAGACCUGGUUUGAGCUCAUCUCUGCUGCCAACUGUCUGUGUGACCUUAAGUAAAAUUAUCUCCUCUCUC